rnacentral:rRNA from 1 species
GAUGAACGCUGGCGGCGUGCCUAAUACAUGCAAGUCGAGCGAACAGACGAGGAGCUUGCUCCUCUGACGUUAGCGGCGGACGGGUGAGUAACACGUGGAUAACCUACCUAUAAGACUGGGAUAACUUCGGGAAACCGGAGCUAAUACCGGAUAAUAUAUUGAACCGCAUGGUGCAAUAGUGAAAGACGGUUUUGCUGUCACUUAUAGAUGGAUCCGCGCCGCAUUAGCUAGUUGGUAAGGUAACGGCUUACCAAGGCAACGAUGCGUAGCCGACCUGAGAGGGUGACCGGCCACACUGGAACUGAGACACGGUCCAGACUCCUACGGGAGGCAGCAGUAGGGAAUCUUCCGCAAUGGGCGAAAGCCUGACGGAGCCACGCCGCGUGAGUGAUGAAGGUCUUCGGAUCGUAAAGCUCUGUUAUUGGGGAAGAACAAAUGUGUAAGUAACUAUGCACGUAUUGACGUUACCUACUCAGAAAGCACCGGCUAACUCCGUG